rnacentral:rRNA from 1 species
UGAGGGCAAUGAGAAUCGAUCCAGGCUGAAUCGGCCUGGGGAUUGGGCUUGCUUGGGGGAGUGAGGGUGCACUCUUGGCUUGCCUUAAAAUCACUGUUGUGUUGAUUGAACUUUCA